CCGUUGAUCCAGAGGUCUGAGACCUCUAACCUUGUAUUCUUCCUUUAUUGCAAUUUUUCUUCUUUCUUUUGUCUUCAAGAAAUGUUCAGUCAAUAAAAUUGGUCUCCUCCUUAUGGGGGACUUUUCUUCUCUUCUUUUUCUUUCUUUCUUUCUUCUUCUUUGUAAUGAGCUGCAUCUUAACACGUUGACCUCCCGAUGGCAGUGCCCUGCCGAUGCACUCCCCUUGCCACAGGGAAUUCCACUGAGGUCCACAAUCCGACAUCUGAGAAAGAAAGUUCAUCAUUUGACAAGAAGGUCGAAGGAGAUGGAGGACGAACUUUCUAGACUGAGGGAGAGUCACUCAGAGGCUACUGCGGAGGCCGCACACUUCCGGAACCUCCAUGUGAAAGGAAUCAUGGAUUACA
rnacentral:lncRNA from 1 species